AUACGGAGGAUCCGAGCGUUAUCCGGAUUUACUGGGCGUAAAGGGUGCGCAGGCGGCCAUUUAAGUCAGCGGUUAAAUCGUGGGGCUCAACCCCAUUCUGCCGUUGAUACUGGGUGGCUUGAUUGCGGUCGAGGUUGGCGGAAUUCGUUGUGUAGCGGUGAAAUGCAUAGAUAUGACGAAGAACACCGAUUGCGUAGGCAGCUGACCAGACCGCAAAUGACGCUCAUGCACGAAAGUGCGGGGAUCGAACAGGAUUAGAUACCCUGGUAGUCCGCACAGUAAACGAUGAAUACUUGUUUUCGGCGAUAUAAUGUCGGAGGCAAAGCGAAAGCGAUAAGUAUUCCACCUGGGGAGUACGCCGGCAACGGUGAAACUCAAAGGAAUUGACGGGG
rnacentral:rRNA from 1 species